rnacentral:snRNA from 1 species
AAGUUUGAGCAGUGGCAGUAUUGUAACCAAUGAGGUUUAUCCAAGGUGCAAUUUUUGCUAGUUGAAAAGAAGACCAUGACACCCAGGUGUACUCUAAAUGUGUACUUGAAAAUGUGUAUAGAGAAAGGUUGU